ACCCAAAGCAGGCAGGAGGAAGAGGACGCAUCAGGCGAGCUAGCAGUGAGGACCCCGGUGCGCCGGGAACCGGGGAAAGCGAGGGCGCUGGCACGUUGGCACCCCCUCCCCACCAGCCCCCAGCAGCGCGGGCCACGAAGACCCCACCCCCCCGGGAGCGAACAGCAGGCAGGGCCGGCACCAGCCCCCGCCAGCCCCGCAGCACCCACUGGGCCAGAGUCCGCGGGCGAGCCCUGGAGCCCUGCAGGAGCGCGGGACAGGGAAGGCACCGCCUGGUUGUGGCCAGGACUGGGGGCUUCGGCCGCUCGGCACACGGCCCCUCAGCGCGGCCCAGGCUGUAGAACACACGGAUGCGACCCCCGCACCCACACAGGUGCGCGCUGGCCCCUCCCCGGCCCCCACCGCGGUUUCUACAGGGGAGCCCCCAGGUUGGAAUCUGGGGUUUUCAGGGGCUCCCCUCUCGUGCGUCUGGGCUCCACAGCCCAGGGAGGGGCUUCUGCAAGGCCGGUCCCCCACAGUGAUGGGCGCCCUCUCCCCUCCGCGCGGGUACCAGCUCCUCCCGGCGGCCGUGGACUCUGCUGCCCCCUGCCGGCCGCUGCGCGCAGUGCGGGAAGGCCUCGUCUCCCGCGGAUUCUGCGGGCGAACCUCUGGGCGGCACGGCCGGGCAGGGCGGGACCACGGGGCAGCCCUGCCUUCGCCUUCUGCGGAAUCCUGACACGGCCCCACGGCCCGCAUGGCGCACAGCACCGCCGCGGAAGCAGCCUGAGCCAGCAGCCCUCCGGGAAUCACGCCUCAGGGAGGCAGGAGCCUGCGAUAUGCAGCAGGGGCCCAGGGCGAGGGGCUCCCCAUCCCUGGGCGGGCGUGACACCCCGGGGUGGGGGGCGGCACAGCAGGCCUGAGCGCGUUCUCACACGCUCAGGGUCUCGGGACCCACACGGCAGUGUUCCCAGGCUGAGCAAAAACACGGACCUUAAAACCUUGGGUGUCGAAGGCAGACGCAGAGCAAACCCACCCGAUGCAGCGGACGCGUGCUGA
rnacentral:lncRNA from 1 species